CAUGGAUGAACAGGCAUUGAACUAAGCAGAGGAUGAUGAGAUGUGAACAAAGGGGGAGAUGUGAUCGAGAUGUGAACAAAGGGGGAGAAGGUAUAAGAAUUUAAGGUUAAUCAUUUUUGAAUGAAUUGUUUUGCAGGAAAUCAAGACUUCAAGACUCCUAGUUGCGUCUAAGUCAUAGAGUCUGUUUUAGGAGUUUUUGAUGUAAUUUUGAAUCUCAAAUUGUAUUUGGAUUACACGCGAGGAGUUCAAUGUUUUGGUGAUGACAAUUGAACUUCGAUUCUUUUAUGUAUUUUUGAGUUUU
rnacentral:lncRNA from 1 species